rnacentral:rRNA from 1 species
UGCUAAGACUGGAUAGGAGACAAGAGGGCAUCUUCUUGUUUUUAAAAGACCUAGCAAUAGGUAUGCUUAGGGAGGAGCUUGCGUCACAUUAGUUAGUUGGUGGGGUAAAGGCCUACCAAGACUAUGAUGUGUAGCCGGGCUGAGAGGUUGAACGGCCACAUUGGGACUGAGACACGGCCCAAACUCCUACGGGAGGCAGCAGUAGGGAAUUUUCGGCAAUGGAGGAAACUCUGACCGAGCAACGCCGCGUGAACGAUGAAGUAUUUCGGUACGUAAAGUUCUUUUAUUAGGGAAGAAUAAAUGAUGGAAAAAUCAUUCUGACGGUACCUAAUGAAUAAGCCCCGGCUAACUAUGUGCCAGCAGCCGCGGUAAUACAUAGGGGGCAAGCGUUAUCCGGAAUUAUUGGGCGUAAAGGGUGCGUAGGCGGUUAAAUAAGUUUAUGGUCUAAGUGCAAUGCUCAACAUUGUGAUGCUAUAAAAACUGUUUAGCUAGAGUAAGAUAGAGGCAAGUGGAAUUCCAUGUGUAGUGGUAAAAUGCGUAAAUAUAUGGAGGAACACCAGUAGCGAAGGCGGCUUGCUGGGUCUUUACUGACGCUGAGGCACGAAAGCGUGGGGAGCAAACAGGAUUAGAUACCCUGGUAGUCCACGCCGUAAACGAUGAGUACUAAACGUUGGGUAAAACCAGUGUUGAAGUUAACACAUUAAGUACUCCGCCUGAGUAGUACGUACGCAAGUAUGAAACUUAAAGGAAUUGACGGGACUCCGCACAAGCGGUGGAUCAUGUUGUUUAAUUCGAAGGUACCCGAAAAACCUCACCAGGUCUUGACAUGCUUCUGCAAAGCUGUAGAAACACAGUGGAGGUUAUCAGUUGCACAGGUGGUGCAUGGUUGUCGUCAGCUCGUGUCGUGAGAUGUUGGGUUAAGUCCCGCAACGAGCGCAACCCUUAUUGUUAGUUACCAGCACGUAAUGGUGGGGACUUUAGCAAGACUGCCAGUGAUAAAUUGGAGGAAGGUGGGGACGACGUCAAAUCAUCAUGCCCCUUAUGACCUGGGCUACAAACGUGAUACAAUGGCUGUUACAAAGGGUAGCUGAAGCGCAAGUUUUUGGCGAAUCUCAAAAAAACAGUCUCAGUUCGGAUUGAAGUCUGCAACUCGACUUCAUGAAGUUGGAAUCGCUAGUAAUCGCGAAUCAGCAUGUCGCGGUGAAUACGUUCUCGGGGUUUGUACACACCGCCCGUCAAACCACGAAAG